rnacentral:misc_RNA from 1 species
GAUGAAGAACGCAGCGAAACGCGAUAUGUAAUGUGAAUUGCAGAAUUCAGUGAAUCAUCGAAUCUUUGAACGCACAUGGCGCCUUCCAGUAUCCUGGGAGGCAUGCCUGUCCGAGCGUCGUUUCAACCCUCGAGCCCCCGUGGCCCGGCGUUGGGGAUCUGCCCAGGCAGUCCCCGAAAACCAGUGGCGGACCAGUUACAGGCCCUUCCCUUGCGUAGUAGCAUUCGCCUCGCAUCGGGAGCCGGCGGGCUUCCAGCCUCUAAACCCCCAUCAAGUCCGCCCCGGCGGCACCAAGGUUGACCUCGGAUCAGGUAGGAAUACCCGCUGAACUUAAGCAUAUCAAUAAGCGGAGGA